GAUGAACGCUGGCGGCGUGCUUAACACAUGCAAGUCGAACGGAAAGGCCCAAGCUUGCUUGGGUACUCGAGUGGCGAACGGGUGAGUAACACGUGGGUGAUCUGCCCUGCACUUCGGGAUAAGCCUGGGAAACUGGGUCUAAUACCGGAUAGGACCACAUUUUGGAUGGUGUGGUGGAAAGUUUUUCGGUGUGGGAUGAGCUCGCGGCCUAUCAGCUUGUUGGUGGGGUAAUGGCCUACCAAGGCGUCGACGGGUAGCCGGCCUGAGAGGGUGUACGGCCACAUUGGGACUGAGAUACGGCACAGACUCCUACGGGAGGCAGCAGUGGGGAAUAUUGCACAAUGGGCGCAAGCCUGAUGCAGCGACGCCGCGUGGGGGAUGACGGCCUUCGGGUUGUAAACUACUUUCGCUAGGGACGAAGCGCAAGUGACGGUACCUGGAGAAGAAGCACCGGCUAACUACGUG
rnacentral:rRNA from 1 species